rnacentral:rRNA from 1 species
GAUGAACGCUGGCGGUGUGCCUAAUACAUGCAAGUCGAGCGAACAGACGAGGAGCUUACUCCUCUGACGUUAGCGGCGGACGGGUGAGUAACACGUGGAUAACCUACCUAUAAGACUGGGAUAACUUCGGGAAACCGGAGCUAAUACCGGAUAACAUGUUGAACCGCAUGGUUCAACAGUGAAAGACGGUCUUGCUGUCACUUAUAGAUGGAUCCGCGUCGCAUUAGCUAGUUGGUAAGGUAACGGCUUACCAAGGCAACGAUGCGUAGCCGACCUGAGAGGGUGAUCGGCCACACUGGAACUGAGACACGGUCCAGACUCCUACGGGAGGCAGCAGUAGGGAAUCUUCCGCAAUGGGCGAAAGCCUGACGGAGCAACGCCGCGUGAGUGAAGAAGGUCUUCGGAUCGUAAAACUCUGUUAUUAGGGAAGAACAAAUGUGUAAGUAACUAUGCACGUCUUGACGGUACCUAAUCAGAAAGCCACGGCUAGCUACGUG